rnacentral:tRNA from 2 species
GAGGUCUUAGCUUAAUUAAAGUGUCUGAGUUGCAAUCAGAGGAUGUGGUGUUCACAGAUCUUCAGAA